AGAUGUAAACUCUAUACAGCCUGGUCUGCUUUAUUUUUGAAACAAUACCUUACAAAUGUACUGCAAAGGACAUGUGUUCCCUCGUAAUUAGGAAAAAAUGUUAACUUGAAGAAAAUCAGGGAUUGACCAGACUGUCCUCAGUUGCACAGUCAGCAAGCCGCCCAGCUGACCUUGUGUUCUCCAGGGGAGAGAACGCUGCUUUUCAGGAUGAACCUGGGAUCAAAGGAGAAAAUUUCCUCUUAAAAGAAUUUUUUUUUAAGGACCACAGAUAUCGUCUGCACUCCCAGCUCACUCCACUGGAGUUUUAUGAAGUAGAGAUGACUCAUGAUUUUCUGUGAAACAUCCAGAGGGUGUUUUAAUUUAAACGGCCCCUGAUCACCACCCACGCACUCCCAUUGCCGGGUCGGCCAAGGGUCACCUGGAAGAGGCCGCGGUUCCAUUCACAGGGGAAGGAGCCUCCUGAGGCCAAGGCCAUGGGGAUGGGAGUUGGGGGUGUCCAGGGCAGGGGAGGAAGGUGGCUGGGCUGCCCGGAGAUGGGCGGUGAUGAAGCUGUGCCCCUGGGAAGCACAAGAGGACCAGCUGAAUCCCCUCUUAAAAGCCAUCCCGGAGUUCCUGUUGUGGCGCAGUGGAAAUGAAUCCGACCAGGCACCAUGAGGUUGCGGGUUUGCUCCCUGGCCUCGCUCAGUGGUACAGGUCUAAAUGUGGCUCAGAUCCCAUGUGGUUGUGGCUGUGGUGUAGGCCUGCAGCUGUAGCUCCUAACCUAGGAAUCUCCAUGUGCCACGAGUGCGGCCCUGGAAAAAAAAAAAAAUAAAAAAAAAAAAAAAGCCAUCCCCAUCCUGGUCUGCCUAGGACCAGGGAUAACAGUGGGGCUGAGCACAGGGACUGGACACCACCCCUCUGAGCCGGUGCUGUUACCACCCCCAUUUCACAGACUGGGAAACUGAGGCUGGUAGCACUGAAGAGGCCUGAACUAGCAAGUGGCAGCAAGAGGUCUUCAGUCAUUCACCUUGGCAUGCCUGCAGAUGGGCAGCAUGGCACAGUGCAGAUGUGCAGCUUCCUUUGCCCCUUGGUGCUGACAAUGAUCCCAGGCAUCCUGGCCUCUGCUACUCCGGUGCCUCCCUGGGGAAGGAAAUCAGUUUUUUUUCACAGUUUUUCUUGCUCCAUUUCAGGACUGAGUGCCUUUAUACCAGCUGGUUAACCCACGUUGUAAGCAGAGUAUGUUUCCUCCCAAAGGAGCAGACUUUCCAGCACCCAAGGCCUUCAACGCUGAGAAUCUUCAUCCUUAAGUUUGUUUGCUGUGGAAGAAGACCCCUACUGGUCUCCCCAGGUAUUGCAGCCCUCCUCUACCAGCCACUGCAAAUGCCCACCAGAAAGUGAGAGAGGGUCUCCAUUCGUGUUCAUGACGUUCAGGGUGAAGCCAGUGGAUUCCCAAGUAUGCGGAAUAUGCAUGUGGCUUAACAGCCUGAAAUAAACAGAUUGUGCUGAAAUUCUAAUCCUGGAGU
rnacentral:lncRNA from 1 species